rnacentral:rRNA from 1 species
AAGUUAAAAUUUAUUAAAUUUUAAAAUUUUUUGGGUUUUAAUUAAAGAAAUAUAGGUUUUAUUAAUAUUAAGAAAAAAUAUUUUUUAUUAUAGUUUAUAGUAUUGAGAAAGAAAAUUAUUUAUUUAUAUUAAAGAAAAAUUUAAUUUUUGUACCUUGUGCAUCAGGGUUGAUUAAUAAAAAAUUAAUUAUUUAAUAUUCUCGAAUUUAAAAGAGCUAAUUAGUUAUAAAUUUUAUUGUAGCAUAAAUAUUUAAAAUAAUUAAUUAGAAAUGAAACGUUAUUCGUUUUUAAAUAUAUCUAGUUUUUAAAUAAAUAAAUUUAAUUUAUCUAUUAAUAAUUAAAAUUUUAAUUUUUUAAUAUUUUAUUAUUAAUAAGAAAUUUUUUUAGGGAUAAGCUUAAAAAAAUAAUAUUAAAACAAAUUAUAAAUAUUAAAUAAUUUAUAGGAUUAUAAUUUUCCAUUGAUAAAAAAAUGUUAUAAUUGAUUAUUUAAAAUAUAUUAUUUUUAUUUUUGUUUAAAUUUUUUAUUUAAAUAUAAUAUUUAAUUUUUAAAUAUUAGAAAUAAUGAUUAAAUUAGUAUAAUUUUAUUUAUAAAUAAAUUUAAAAUCAAGGUUAUUUUAAGGAACUCGGCAAAUAUAUUUUUCACCUGUUUAUUAAAAACAUGUCCUUUUGAUUAUAAUUUAAGGUCUAAUCUGCCCACUGAGAAGUUAAAUGGCCGCAGUAUUUUGACUGUGCAAAGGUAGCAUAAUAAUUAGUUUCUUAAUUAGAAGCUGGAAUGAAAGAUUGAAUGAGAAAAUAGCUGUCUCAAUUUAAUUUAGUUAGAAUUUUAUUUUUAAGUUAAAAAGCUUAAAUUUUGUUAAAAGACGAGAAGACCCUAUAGAGUUUUAUUUAAUUUUUUAAUAAAUAAAAAUUGAUUUAAAUUUUUUUAUUUAAAAAUUAAAUUUUGUUGGGGUGACAAAAAAAUUUAAUAAACUUUUUUUAUAUAAAAACAUUAAUUAAUGAUUUUUUGAUCCAAAAAUUUUGAUUAUAAGAUAAAAUUACCUUAGGGAUAACAGCGUAAUUUUUUUUGAGAGUUCAUAUCGAAAAAAAAGAUUGCGACCUCGAUGUUGGAUUAAAGUUUAAUUUUGGUGUAGAAGCUAAAAAUAUUAGGUCUGUUCGACCUUUAAAACUUUACAUGAUCUGAGUUUAAACCGGUGUAAGCCAGGUUGGUUUCUAUCUUUAAUAAAUUAAAAUAUUUUAGUACGAAAGGACCAAAUAUUUAUUAUAAUAAUUUAAGAUUUGAAUAAUAGUAA